CCUGAGAUCAUGACCUAAGCCAGAGGCAGACUCUUAACCUACUGUGCAACCCAGGUGCCCCAGGCAUGGAAACUUUUUAUUGAAAUUCUUUUGCUCAUAAACGUAAGGAGAAAAUGCUUAUAUGAUUUCUCUAUAUCUUUGUAAAAUCAGACUAGGAAUCCUGACCCAGACAUGAAUAUCUUCCCCUGGACGGUAUUCAGAACUGUCACUGUGGUAGCUGAUAUUAAUAAGCCAUUCGUUUUUCUUUAUAAAAACUGAGCAACUGCCAUUAGAUUCAUUUGGGGCCAAAGUAGGUAAUGAAAUAAAGCCUUCCCAAGCUUUUCCUAUGGAUGGCAACUAAGCUAUUCAGUACUGCUUGCGCUACAGCAGAAAUAGGAAACAUUAGUCAUAUCCUCCCGAGUACUGCGCCCCUCCUAUUCCCUACUCCCACCCUGCCUACCGCUGCCCAUCACAGUGUCAUCACUGCAGAAGCAUUAGUCAUGCCAUCUGAGAAAAUGUAGUUCCUAAGCUCUGGUUUUGGAUUGCAUUCAUGGGUGGGGUGAGGUGGGGCUUCCUGAAUAAUUAACUAAAGCCUCUUUGUAGCUCCUUUAAAAAGAACUGGUAUAAUUUCGGAGGAUGAAAAAGGGCAGGUGGAACUUAUGAUCUAACGAUUAAUGCUGCAAACCCAGAAACUGGAGACUGUGUUAUGGUCCUCUGGGAGGGACCUAAAAGCUUGGAGAAAAAUACACUACCAACUGAACUACCAUUACUGAACUGGUGGAUCUCCAAAGGGACAGUCACUCCAUCACUGUUCUUGGCUGUUUUCAUGGAGAAGCAGAAGUCUCCAUAUUUAAGGAUGAGUUUCCCAGCCAGGAAGAUACAACUAAGUCUACUGUUUGGUGAGUAGGUGAAAAGGAAACUGGGAGACCAUUUAGAAGUGUCUGCACAGGACCUGAAGUGCUAAGUAGUGAUUUCAACCAAAGAGGAGAGGGCAUUGAAGCCUACAAGGCUUCCUGGACACUGAACUGGAGAGACAGCAGGGGCGAUGCCGUGUGAAAUCUGGGCUUCCCCCUAAGCCAGGAGUCUGCACAGUGCUAAAGCGUUCAUGGGAAUUGGGGAGAGGCUGUGAGUAAGCGGUGGAAGAUGGAUCAAACACUGGGAUUGGUCUUACGCUUCUCAGUGCAUUGGGAUUCUAAAACGCUUUAAUUGUCCAGAAAAGCAGCUUGUUCUGCUAAUCUGUACAUUGUUCCUUGUGUCUGAAUGGGCCUUGACAACUCCCUUAUCUAUCUGGAGAAAUUCUGUGCAUCCUUUAGGACUCGUUCAACCGUCCUUUCUUCCAACAAGGCAUCUUUAGCCCCUCAUCUAGAUUCCAGAAGCUGCAUGAGAAGUCUUUUUGGUCCCAACAUUCAGCGUUCUACAAAGGACGAAUGGCCAAACGCAAUUAGCAGAGAGGCAUACCGAAUGGCAGGAUCCAUUUGCCAGUCUUGGAAACUCUUUUCAACCUCAGAGUUCCUCUGAAUGAUAAUUCUCUCUGUGACUACCAAAGGCACAGGCAUUAAGGCAAAGAGGAGCAAGGUAGAAAGCCAGCAGGGGACUGGCCGAGGAACAGCGUUAGCAGGGACAGGGCCUGGCUGCCUGCUCUGGUUAGAUGGUGACCGACUUCCUUUGGACAAGUGUGGCUUGUACCCAUGGCCUGUGUAACAGCCCCACCGCCCACCUGUCAUCCCAGAAGUGUCACCAGUGCUCCCUGUCACCUCAAGAGUUGCCUGGACUUUGUGGGAUGGCUAUACCAGACAUAAAAAAAUGGAACCCACAUGGCUCUACCUACGCAAGUGUAUACCCUUCAUAGCCUGCAGAAGUACUGACAUGAAAAAUCUCCUUAACCAAUAAAAACAGAGCAGCAAACAGAAGAAACUAAAGUGAACUACUUUUAAAUGUAUGUAUGUGCAUCCAGAAUUAGUUGGUUUGAUUUAUCUUGUAUGAUACUGACUCUAUUGCUGGUAAAGAUUAAUUGUA